UACGUAGGGUGCGAGCGUUGUCCGGAAUUAUUGGGCGUAAAGAGCUCGUAGGCGGCUUGUCGCGUCGGAUGUGAAAGCCCGGGGCUUAACUCCGGGUCUGCAUCGAUACGGGCAGGCUAGAGUUCGGUAGGGGAGAUCGGAAUUCCUGGUGUAGCGGUGAAAUGCGCAGAUAUCAGGAGGAACACCGGUGGCGAAGGCGGAUCUCUGGGCCGAUACUGACGCUGAGGAGCGAAAGCGUGGGGAGCGAACAGG
rnacentral:rRNA from 1 species